GAAAGUGAAGCUAUUGGAGCAUUUGAUUGUUACUCAAAUAUAGCACAAUUAUCUUGUGCCUUUUUCG
rnacentral:tRNA from 1 species